rnacentral:rRNA from 1 species
GACGAACGCUGGCGGCGUGCCUAAUACAUGCAAGUAGAACGCUGAAGAGAGGAGCUUGCUCUUCUUGGAUGAGUUGCGAACGGGUGAGUAACGCGUAGGUAACCUGCCUGGUAGCGGGGGAUAACUAUUGGAAACGAUAGCUAAUACCGCAUAAAAUUGAUUAUUGCAUGAUAAUUAAUUGAAAGAUGCAAUUGCAUCACUACCAGAUGGACCUGCGUUGUAUUAGCUAGUUGGUGAGGUAACGGCUCACCAAGGCGACGAUACAUAGCCGACCUGAGAGGGUGAUCGGCCACACUGGGACUGAGACACGGCCCAGACUCCUACGGGAGGCAGCAGUAGGGAAUCUUCGGCAAUGGGGGGAACCCUGACCGAGCAACGCCGCGUGAGUGAAGAAGGUUUUCGGAUCGUAAAGCUCUGUUGUAAGAGAAGAACGGGUGUGAGAGUGGAAAGUUCACACUGUGACGGUAUCUUACCAGAAAGGGACGGCUAACUACGUGCCAGCAGCCGCGGUAAUACGUAGGUCCCGAGCGUUGUCCGGAUUUAUUGGGCGUAAAGCGAGCGCAGGCGGUUAGAUAAGUCUGAAGUUAAAGACUGUGGCUUAACCAUAGUAUGCUUUGGAAACUGUUUAACUUGAGUGCAGAAGGGGAGAGUGGAAUUCCAUGUGUAGCGGUGAAAUGCGUAGAUAUAUGGAGGAACACCGGUGGCGAAAGCGGCUCUCUGGUCUGUAACUGACGCUGAGGCUCGAAAGCGUGGGGAGCAAACAGGAUUAGAUACCCCGGUAGUCCACGCCGUAAACGAUGAGUGCUAGGUGUUAGGCCCUUUCCGGGGCUUAGUGCCGCAGCUAACGCAUUAAGCACUCCGCCUGGGGAGUACGACCGCAAGGUUGAAACUCAAAGGAAUUGACGGGGGCCCGCACAAGCGGUGGAGCAUGUGGUUUAAUUCGAAGCAACGCGAAGAACCUUACCAGGUCUUGACAUCCCUCUGACCGCUCUAGAGAUAGAGUUUUCCUUCGGGACAGAGGUGACAGGUGGUGCAUGGUUGUCGUCAGCUCGUGUCGUGAGAUGUUGGGUUAAGUCCCGCAACGAGCGCAACCCCUAUUGUUAGUUGCCAUCAUUGAGUUGGGCACUCUAGCGAGACUGCCGGUAAUAAACCGGAGGAAGGUGGGGAUGACGUCAAAUCAUCAUGCCCCUUAUGACCUGGGCUACACACGUGCUACAAUGGCUGGUACAACGAGUCGCAAGCCGGUGACGGCAAGCUAAUCUCUGAAAGCCAGUCUCAGUUCGGAUUGUAGGCUGCAACUCGCCUACAUGAAGUCGGAAUCGCUAGUAAUCGCGGAUCAGCACGCCGCGGUGAAUACGUUCCCGGGCCU